ensembl:lncRNA HTT-AS HTT antisense RNA
GCCCCCGCAGGUUCUGCCUCACACAGCAAGGCCGCUGACAGCGCAGCGCCCCACCCGGGCGAAGGCGCGGGGCUCAACGGAGAGGGGACGGGGCGUGGUGAGACUGUAAUGGGCAGCCCCUCUCUUCACCUCCAAGCCGGAGCGUGGCCUCAUCCCUCCCAGGUGACUCUCUUCCCAGAAAUGGUGCUGUCUCAAGAAGCCCCCUCUCUCCAAGCAUCUGCCAGGCCGUUUGAGCUGCCAGGAGUCUUUGUCCUGCCCCACCAGCUCUGUCUCAUCUAGAUGGGGCCUUCUGUCCAGUGCUACUGAACAGAAUGUUCUGCAUGCCUGGCCAGUGCAGAGACCUCCUUGCACCCCUGCUCCAAGGCUGGCUCUGCCACUGACAGAUAGACUGACAUUUGCACUGUUCUGAGCCCCUGGGGGUGCAGUAUGCAGAGCUAGGCCAUCUCUGUCGUCCUACAAGAACCAGGCAGCCCUGAGCAAGGCUUUUAACAUGCAAGGUGUACUCCACUAGUCUUAAGAUAUCUUGAGCCACUGUCUUGCUGCUCCCAACUCCCAAGCCACGCUGACUUUCUUUCCCUCGGGACUGAAACACCUCUGCUGAUCCCUGAUCCAUAUCCCUCCCCAUGAAAGAAAUAUAAUACAUAAAAGAGAGCCCUCUCCACUGAGCACCUCCCUUCCUUUGUAGCACUUACUUCAACUGACCCUUACAGGGAUCGUGUAACUAGACUAUGAAUGUCAUGAAGGCUACGUCGUGUCUCCGACCCCCUACUAAAGGCUCCAACCCCAGGGAGGACCCCUCCCCUGGCCUGGGGAGGAGGAUCAGGAAGAUCUCUUUAGUAAAAGGUCCGGUUGGACUGGGACAUAGGUCUUUCCUGAGCAAGAACUCUAAAGCCCACUUGUUUCCUUACUAGAAGAUGAAGGUUAGAAAUGUUCUUUCUUAUUUAAAACCAUGGCUUGCAAUGCUGCUUGGCCCUCAAGUCAAGCAGAAGCACAGCCCACAUACCACACAACACAGGAUUUCCUCACGGCUCAUCUUCCAAGUGAGAAGUGAAAGGAAUGUCGUGGGAAACCGCAAGAGUCUGUUCUAAUGAUAAAGCAGAGGUCCAGAGAACCGCACUUACCCUCAGCAGUGCACAGUGGUGAUGAACAACACGCCAAGCAGAAGAGAAAGGGGCCAGGACCUUGGACGGGGGCUGAAUUCAGAAUCAGCGCACAGGAGAAGUGAAGUUUGAGACUUCGAGAAUGAGCCGAAGGGAGACCUUUCUCACUGUCAAGGCGGUGAAGCACAGGCCGCAGAGGGGAGGUGUUUGACCUGGGGGCGCUCAUCACAUGCUGUGCCUAGAAUCGAAGUCCGGGCUCACACCAGACCUCCAAGGCCAGAACCCGAAGACUGGAUCUUCUGAGAACAUCAGAGAAAGACUGUCCUUGCCAUCCGCACUGCAACAAAACUUAGGGAUCUUGAAACUUGGGUUCAUAAUCUCACAACUGAGAAGGGUCCAUCCACACUCCUGGAACUGUACACCCAUUGGAACCUUUAAGGUAAAGCCAAGGAAGUCUCUCCCCAGAAGAUGGCAUCCUUGAUGUGAACGGCUUUUGCUAAGAUCGUGGAUCAAGACUUCUACUGUCAUGAGACUCUCUUUUUUUUUUCUUUUUUGGAGAUGGAGUCUUGCUCUGUCACCCAGGCUGGAGUGCGGUGGUGCAGUCUCAGCUCACUGCAACCUCUGCCUCCUGGGUUCAAGCGAUUCUCAUACCUCAGCCUUCCGAGUAGCUGGUAUUACAGGUGCCUGCCACCACACCAAGCUAAUUUUUGUAUUUUUAGUAGAGAUGGGUUUUUGCCAAGUUGGCCAGGCUGGUUUUGAACUUCUAACCUCAGGUGAUCCGCCCACCUCGGCCUCCCAAAGUGCUGGGAUUACAGGCAUGCACCACCACGCCUGGCCAUGAGACUCUUAUCUUUGAGUAUCUGUUCCUUGCUUAUGCCUCUAUGA